AGAGGGGGUCCCUUCGGGGGGGGGCACAGUAGGGAAUCUUCCACAAUGGACGCAAGUCUGAUGGAGCAACGCCGCGUGAGUGAAGAAGGUCUUCGGAUCGUAAAGCUCUGUUGUUGGUGAAGAAGGAUAGAGGCAGUAACUGGUCUUUAUUUGACGGUAAUCAACCAGAAAGUCACGGCUAACUACGUGCCAGCAGCCGCGGUAAUACGUAGGUGGCAAGCGUUGUCCGGAUUUAUUGGGCGUAAAGCGAGCGCAGGCGGAAUGAUAAGUCUGAUGUGAAAGCCCACGGCUCAACCGUGGAACUGCAUCGGAAACUGUCAUUCUUGAGUGCAGAAGAGGAGAGUGGAACUCCAUGUGUAGCGGUGGAAUGCGUAGAUAUAUGGAAGAACACCAGUGGCGAAGGCGGCUCUCUGGUCUGCAACUGACGCUGAGGCUCGAAAGCAUGGGUAGCGAACAGGAUUAGAUACCCUGGUAGUCCAUGCCGUAAACGAUGAGCGCUAGGUGUUGGGGACUUUCCGGUCCUCAGUGCCGCAGCAAACUGCCAAUC
rnacentral:rRNA from 1 species